rnacentral:lncRNA from 1 species
CCGCACCUCGCUUGCUGACAUUCUCUCUCUCUCUGUUUCUGUCUGUGCCUCUUUCUGUGUGUUCUGUAGAGGACGUAGCAAAUUUAACAGCCAGUGAUGUCAUGAAUCGGGUAAACCUGGGAUAUUUGCAAGACGAGAUGAACGACCACCAGAACACCCUCUCCUACGUCCUCAUCAACCCUCCGCCCGACACGAGGCUGGAGCCCAGCGACAUUGUCUAUCUCAUCCGCUCCGACCCCCUGGCUCACGUGGCCAGCAGCUCCCAGAGCCGGAAGAGCAGCUGCAGCCACAAGCUGUCGUCCUGCAACCCCGAGACUCGCGACGAGACACAGCUCUGAGCCAGCCCUGCACGGAGCUCAGGCCACCAAGCCCGGGGUCCUCAGGAAGGACGUGGAGGAGCAUGUGAGGACACGGUGGCACUAGCGUGACCCUGGGGAUGCCACACUCUACUCACCGUGGCUCCUGGGACUCCACCCUGGAAAGGACCCCCUCAUGCGGGGGGAGGGCCAGCUCACUCCUGGGCACCUGCAGGCUAGUGAGGAGAGUUUUUUAACCUAUUUUUACACAUCGAUGCAGUCCACUUCUCUUUACACAGAUGUACCGCAACUCGUGACCAGGGCUGGCUGGGAGGGCAACGCAGGGACUGGACGCCCUGCAGGGCCGAGCCCAGGCUGUGCUGGAGGGUGGGGCUGGGGUGCAUGGGGAGGGGAGCAGAACCCAGGAGCCCCGCGUGGGCCACACCCAACUCAGAGCCGGCCUGAGCGUUCACGGCCAGGCGGCCUCGCUUCCUUGCAGCCAAGGGCUGGGGGCCAGGGCUGCUGUUCUGCACUCUGUGGGGUGGGUAAGGGGGACCCUGGGCUGUUUGCUGUCCCAAGCCCCUUCUGGAAGUUAGAAGCAGCAAAGGGCCCGGGGAAGCCGGGCAUGUGAGAGGGGUGCGUCCCCAGGUCCCCCAGAGGGCCCUGUCACUGAGGACCUUUCUGAAGGAAGCAGAAGACGCCGUUUCCUCUACUUCACACUGAACUGUCCCAGCCACUGCAUCUAGGGGGCAUUGGGCGGAAGAUGGUGCAUUUCCAUAGACCAUUUUACACUUACCUUUUAAAGCAAAGCCUCAUUUUCUAAACCCCUGACUUGUGAAGCACAAUUCAGCCUCUGGGCUGGGCCACGUGGAGAGAGGAUCUUCUCAGCAAGGCGAGAUCCCGGGCGGCGGCUGACAUCAGGAGCGCCACCCUGCGUCCUUUGCUGCUGGUUCCUUACUGGUUUGUACGGUCAGCGCUGGAAACUUCUAUUAAAUGGAUGCAUUCUGGA